CAGCAGCCACGGGAAAACGUAGGGUGCAAGCGUUACUCGGAAUUACUGGGCGUAAAGCGUGCGUAGGUGGUGGUUUAAGUCCGUUGUGAAAGCCCUGGGCUCAACCUGGGAAUUGCAGUGGAUACUGGGUCACUAGAGUGUGGUAGAGGAUAGUGGAAUUUCCGGUGUAGCGGUGAAAUGCGUAGAGAUCGGGAGGAACAUCAGUGGCGAAGGCGGCCAUCUGGGACAACACUGACGCUGAGGCACGAAAGCGUGGGGAGCAAACAGGAUUAGAUACCCGAGUAGUCCCUGUCUCUUAACA
rnacentral:rRNA from 1 species